UGUUGUCAUGGCAACAGAAUAGAUCAGUAAAAAAAAAACAGACUUGUACACUAAAAUCAUGUUACCAAGCGUAUUGUAUGUCUCUUCUGUUGUACAAUAUUUCCAGUAUUACUGCUUAAAAAAAAAAUAUCUAUUUAUUAUUUUAAUAUUAUUAUAUUUGUUUAUUAUUUUUUAUUAUUUUUAACUUGAGUUUGUCAUGACAUAGUUUGAAUGAUGUCUGGAUUUGUGCUAUACAGAUACUGUAGAUCUGUAGGUCAUGUUUAUUUCCACCGCUGAGCUCUCAUUUAGUUCAGAAACGAGAAGAACCAGCGUCAGUUACACUGAAUGAUCAGCAAAGAAAAAUAGAAGAUCAAAGAGGUUUGCUGGAGGAGCUGGCCCGCAUAGAACAGGACCUGAAGGAAACCAUUUGGAGAGAGGAGAAGAGACAGCAGGAGCUAGACCAAGUAAGAAGAGAAGAGAAUCGGAUCCGCUGGAGAAGUCUGUUGUUCCUCAGCCUCAACCAGCGUACAGCGAAGCCCUGGGUGACAAGCUACUAUAAGAACAUAGCGAUGCACAUCUAUUGCCUUCCAAUAGAGACUGUUGUCCGAAAUCAGAACAAGAAGAAGAAGAAGACAAGAAGAUGAGGAAAUUAUGCCGUUACAGCAAACAGUUACAAUCUGAAAGAAAAUCAGAGCAUCAUGUAAUCAAACAGACGGUGAACACUGUUAACUGCAAUGAUUAUAUGUUGCGA